UACGGAGGGUGCGAGCGUUGUCCGGAAUCACUGGGCGUAAAGGGCGCGUAGGUGGCGCGGGCAGUCAACGGUGAAAGCUCGGGGCUCAACCCCGAGUCGGCCGUCGAUACUCCCGUGCUUGAGCACUGUAGAGGCAGGUGGAAUUCCGGGUGUAGCGGUGGAAUGCGUAGAGAUCCGGAAGAACACCGGUGGCGAAGGCGGCCUGCUGGGCAGUAGCUGACACUGAGGCGCGACAGCGUGGGGAGCAAAC
rnacentral:rRNA from 1 species